rfam:Echinops telfairi cont1.412965, whole genome shotgun sequence.
GAGAUAGAUAUGUGUGGCCAGUCUCUGGUGCUGUUAACAAGCCUCAUCAUAAAGAUGGAGAUGAUAAG